AUGGUGAGUCACUUCCGUGAUAGGCGGGGGCAGGUGGGAUUGAGUGAGGAAGAAAAGAGAUCUGAGAAGAUAGAAGCUGCAGAGCUGCGGAGAAGGGGGCUGGGCUGGGAGGGGAGCUGCUGGAGGAACCAGAGCCCUGCAGGUUAUAGGAUCUUGGCUGAAGGGACCAGAGAAGGAUAUGGAAGGUGUGUGACAAUCCUAGCUCCAGGUGCAGUUUACAAGCCCCUCUGGGCACCCCGGGACUCCCAGCCAGGCCUCUGCACAUGGCGGUAUGGAGAGCCGAAUAUCACCCAAGAAGCAGUCCUGCCAAAAGUGUCCAACCCGGAUCUCACAGCAUCUGAAGCAGUGUUUCAACAGAAAUAUUUAUGAUGAUGGAAAUAUUUGCACUGCCCAGGACAGCAGCCACUGGCUAAAUGCGGAUAUUGGGCACUUGAAAUGAGGCUGGGAGCUGGAUUUUAAAAUCUAAGAUAAUCUUCAUGAAACUCAUUCGAUGUCAAAUACUCAUCUGUGGCUAGGGGCGACCAUGCCGGCCAGCGUAGCUCCAGGGUCCAAACCUAACCUCCGAGGCACAGGACGUGGGAGGCGGCAGGACAAGUUUCCAUGGGGAAAAGGGUCAGACAAAUCCCGAGGGGAGUGUUACAGGACGACAGCCCUGGGGUGCUCAAAACUCAGUGUCCUUAAAACCAAAACAAAAAAGCAGGAGAAGUGAGGGGCUGUCCUAGGUUAGACGAGGUGAACCAAACAAAGCAGGAAGCUAGAUGGGAUCCCGAUUGAAAAUAACAACGGUACAGACGCAGAGCUUCCUGGGUCAGCGAGGGCGCCAGACGUGCCUGGAUGCAGCGGAACAGCACAGGGCCACCGUUAGAUUUCUCAGGGGUUUCACCGGGGUUGUGAUAUUGGGACAUGUCCUUAUUUCCAGAGGGCGCAAGAUGAGUGUGCAACAAGGGUCUGAGGCCUGCAUCGUUGUAAUGAUGCGGGUGUGUGGGCUGGGGAGGGGGAGAGAGGGAGCUAAAGCAGAUUCGGCAAAAUGUUUUUAAAACAGUCCUGUCAUGCAGGAUACUUCUUCCCAGAAAGUAGAGAACGUACUUCAUGAACGGAGCGACUUAGAAGAGGUUUCUAGGCAAGCUGCCAUCUGGCUGCUUCCUGCUCUUUACCAUGAAAUGUGUGAUGGGAGAGAAGCUAGAGAGGCUUUAAGCACAGAGGAGUCAGGACUGGCUGGUUGGGAAACUCUCAGAGGCCCCCCCGCCCCCCGAGACGGCCGAUGAUGCUAAAGUGAAGAAACGGCUUCCAGGCGAAGUUAAAACCCAGGGACGGUCAGCAAAAUAUGGUACAAAGAUGAAGGCAAGAGCAUAGCUGUGAAAUCUUUCAUGAAAAGUUUUGUUAAGGAGUUCCUGUCAUGGCUCAGCAGUCACGAACCCAACUAGCAUCCAUGGGGAUUGAGGUUUGAUCCCUGGCCUCACUUGAUGGGUUAAGGAUCCAGCAUUGCCCUGAGCUGUGGUGUAGGUCACAGAUGCAGCUUGGAUCCCAUGUUGCGGUGGCUGUGGUGUAGGCUGGCAGCUGCAGCUCAGAUUCAACCCCUAGCCUGGGAACUUCCAUAUGCCACGGGUGUGGACCUUAAAAAAAAAAAAAAGAGUUUUGCGAAGAGAAGACUCCAGGGUGAGCCUCAGACAACCCUUCAGAUAAAGAACUUUCUUAGAAGGGUUUUGCCUCUCCGUAGCCCAGAAAAACUGAUGUUGCUGUGAGCGUUUGGGGACCUGAGUGUAUUUUUUUCACGUGGGGGGACGCGAAUCAUGUAGUCAGAUUCUAAGAUGCCCUCCUCGUCCUCGCCUCCCGACACGGAGCCCUGGUCCAGCCCUCCCGCGCUGUAGGGGUGCUGGCAUGGACUCUGAGGCCCGGCCAUCAAAGAAUGACUUUGGGCUCCUAGACGCUUGCUCUGGGGAACCCGGCUGCCGUGUCGUUUGCCCCCUCAGGCAGAAGCACCCAGAGGCCCGUGUGGACAGUGCCCUGGGUUGGAGGUGGGUCCCUCCCUCAGGUCCGUCCCAGACCCUCAGGACGUGACCUUGCUUGGAAAGAGGGUGGCCAUGCUGGGUAGGGUGUCUUAGAGCAGAGGGGGGCCGGGAACACACACAUGGGAAGACAGUGGAGAUGGAGGCAGACGCUGGAGCGAUGCACCUGCAAGGCAGAGGCCAGGCAGGGUUGGGCACCCAGAAGCUGAGAGAGGCUCCUGUGCCCGAGAGCCUUAGACAGCAUGGCUCUGCCGACACUGUGAUUCUGGAUUUCCCGCUGCAAGCACUGAGAGAAUAAAUUUGGUCCAAAUAUCA
rnacentral:lncRNA from 1 species